rnacentral:rRNA from 1 species
CCGUGAGGGUUGGGUUAAGUCCGCAACGAGCGCGAACCCUAUUGUUAGUUGCCAUCACAUAAAUGGUGGGCACUCUAAUGAGACUGCCCGGGUCAACCGGGAGGAAGGUGGGGACGACGUCAAGUCAUCAUGGCCCUUACGCCUAGGGCUACACACGUACUACAAUGGUGCAUACAAAGGGUUGCGAAACCGCGAGGUCAAGCCAAUCCCAAAAAAUGCAUCCCAGUCCGGAUCGGAGUCUGCAACUCGACUCCGUGAAGUUGGAAUCGCUAGUAAUCCCGGAUCAGCAUGCCGGGGUGAAUACGUUCCCGGGCCUUGUACACACCGCCCGUCACACCACGAAAGCUGGUUCUACCCGACAACGGCGGACUAACCCUUCGGGAGGUAGUCGUCUACGGUAGGGCUGGUGAUUGGGGUGAAGUCGUAACAAGGUAACCAAG